UACAGGGGGUGCAAACGUUGCUCGGAAUCAUUGGGCGUAAAGCGCACGUAGGCGGUUCGUUAUGUCGGAUGUGAAAGCCCUUGGCUUAACCGAGGAAAUGCAUCCGAAACUGGCGAGCUAGAGUACUAAAGAGGAUCGCGGAAUUCCCGGUGUAGAGGUGAAAUUCGUAGAUAUCGGGAGGAACACCGGUGGCGAAGGCGGCGAUCUGGGUAGAUACUGACGCUGAGGUGCGAAAGCGUGGGGAGCAAACAGG
rnacentral:rRNA from 1 species